rnacentral:rRNA from 1 species
UACAGAGGGCCCAAGCGUUGUUCGGAUUCACUGGGCGUAAAGGGUGCGUAGGCGGUCGGGUAAGUCUGAUGUGAAAUCUCACAGCUUAACUGUGAAACUGCAUUGGAUACUAUUCGGCUUGAGAGUUGGAGGGGGGACUGGAAUUCUUGGUGUAGCAGUGAAAUGCGUAGAUAUCAAGAGGAACACCAGUGGCGAAGGCGAGUCCCUGGACAACUUCUGACGCUGAGGCACGAAAGCUAGGGGAGCAAACAGG